rnacentral:lncRNA from 1 species
GUGAAUGAGCAUAUGUAUGCAUGUGUGAUGGGUUUGUAUAUGUAUCCAGGUGUAUAUGUGUGUCUAUGCCUGUGGCUGUAUAUGUUUGCAAACAUUGUAUGUGCAUGUGCACCUGUGUUGUGUGUGUGUAUGUGUGUAGGUUUGAGAAUAUGUGUGUGCAUUACUAUGUACAUAUUGCACUUGUAUAUAUAAAUGUGUGCUGGCACAUGCAUACAAACUUAGGAAUGUCACCUGCUGUGGGAGGAAAGCCUGGAGUCAGGAGUGGGGAGACUCAGGGAGGAGUCCCUAUUAUUCCUGGGGUAGCCCAUGAGUGGAAGGCUCUGGAGCCUGGAGAGCAG